rnacentral:misc_RNA from 1 species
AAUGAAGCCCUCCACGGCUGCCAUCCCUUUUGUCCUUUUCUGGUUUUCAAUACUCUUGCAUUCUAUUGCCGAUCAAGCCUUCGAUGUCCGUCAACACCUCUCCACCGUAACAAGAUAUGGUGCUGUGAAAGAUGUGGGUAAUAGUUCCUCUUUACAGUUUAGUAUUCAUGAGGGAUGCACUCCUAUCCACUUAAACCUUGUGGC